GCGGGAGCCCCCCUGCUCGCCGCCGCCGCGCGGCCCUCGCGCGGCCAGCCCAGUCCAGAGCGAGGAAGUGGAGGAGAGUCAGCGAGUGAGUCCAGAAAGCCGAAAUCCAGCAUCCGAGGGAGCGCGUCCCCCCGCCCUCCCUCCACCCCUACCCGCUUCUCCUCCUCCUCCACCUCCUCCUCCUUCUCUGCCCGGGCCGUCCUCCCGGCCCUCCUGAGCCCGCGGCGUGCGCGGCGGUUCCUCCUCCUCCUCCCGCGCCUCCUGCUCGCCCUGCGCCCGCUUCCCCGGCCGCCGCCGCCGCCGCCGCCGCGGUGUGUCUCCUCUCCCUCCUCCUCUUCCUCCUCCUGCUCUUCCUCGAUGCUCCGCCGCUCGCGGCUGGGGGGUCUGGGGCCGCGUCUCCUCCUUCCGCCUCUCCUGUUUCCUCUUUCCUGCUGCUUCUUUUAAAGCGGAUUCUUUGGCCACAAAUAGCAACUCGGCUGCCCCCCCCCCCGCCCCUCAGCGCCUCCCUCCCCUUCCUUUCUUGUUCCCCCAAAAGUGAAGCGCACGCAAGAGAAUACUUUGCGAGGAGAACUGAAGGUCCAAAAACCUGUGGCUACAUCAUGUUAACCUAUUCCCCUGAUUCAACUGGCAGUCAAACUUGACUACAAACUCAGCCACUGAUGGAGCGUGCACACUCAUUUUGCCAGUGACCCUGACACACUAGGAACAAAAAAAUCACCCUCUUCGGAACCAAGAUUACAGCGAGGAGUCGUUGGAUGCAAAUGAAGGGCAAAGAGUACCUCAACAGAGAGAUAAGAUGUAGCCACUGGCAUACCUCAAUCACAUUUAGACAGUCCUGCAAACAUUGCAAUCAAAAUACCCCAACCUGAAUUCCUGUCAUUGUCCCCUCUUCCCUUUGUUUCAAUACUAUAAAUCUCCCUGAGUUCUUGGGUUGGAAACACAGAUUUGAGUUUAUUUCCUUUCUCCUUGCUGGUUGACCAUGCAAUAAAUCUCUUUUUUUCCUCAAAAU
rnacentral:lncRNA from 1 species